CGGGUGCCGCGUUCGGAAUGAGUACGAUUCGAACCACCUAACGAGGAACGAUCGGAGGGCAAGUCUGGUGCCAGCAGCCGCGGUAAUUCCAGCUCCAAUAGCGUACGUUAAAAGUUGCUGCAGUUAAAAAGCUCGUAGUUGAACGUUCGGGUUCCGCGGGACGGGGCCGCCCCGCGAGGGACGGCGCCGCCCCGGGGCUCGUGAUAUCUCAUCUCGCCGCCCGUCGCGAGGCGGACGGAGGGAUGGAUGAGGUUACCUGGAAAAAAUCGGGGCGAUCUAGGCGGGCGAACCUCGCCAACGAACGAUCGGACAUGGGAUAACGGAAGAGGGCGUCGGCUCGACUUCGUCGGUUCCUCGGGCCGAGGCACGUACGGUGAAUAGGGACGGUCGGGGCCGCCCGUACCGGGUCGUGAGAGGUGAAAUUCUAGGAUCGACCCGAGACGAACCGACCGCGAAAGCAUUCGGCAAGGACGCUUUCAUUAAUCAAGAACGAAAAGUCGGGGGAUCGAAGACGAUCAGAUACCGUCGUAGUCCCGACCGUAAACGAUAGCCCUCCCGCCGAGAAA
rnacentral:rRNA from 1 species